rnacentral:rRNA from 1 species
GAAACUGCGAAUGGCUCAUUACAUCAGUUAUUAUUUAUUUGAUAAUCGAAAGUUACAUGGAUAACCGUGACAAAUUACAGCUAAUACAUGCAUUCAGACCUGGUCCAAGGGUCGUAAUUAUUAGUAUUAAACCAUUUCCGUAAGGAGUGUGAUGAAUCAUAAUAAUCGAACGAAUCGCCUGAUGUGCGAUAAAUCAUUCAAGUUUCUGCCCUAUUAGCUUUGGAUGGUAGUGUAUUGGACUACCAUGGCAGUCAUGGGUAACGGAGAAUUAGGGUUCGAUUCCGGAGAGGGAGCCUGAGAAACGGCUACCACAUCUACGGAAGGCAGCAGGAGCGAAAAUUGCCCAAUCCUGACACAGGGAGGCAGUGACAAGAAAUAUCAACUCCUGGAUUUCUAGGAAGUGAAAUGAGGAUAAUUUACAACCCUUACCGAAAGCAAUUGGAGGGCAAGUCUGGUGCCAGCAGCCGCGGUAAUUCCAGCUCCAAUAGCGUAUAUUAAAGUUGUUGCAGUUAAAAAGCUCGUAGUUGAAACUCUGGCUGUUCGAUCCUCGAGCUCUGUAGCCGGGGACUCGACAGUCAUCCGCUUGCAAACAUAUGUUCGCCUUUAACCGGGUGGCUAUGUGAGCAAGCAUUUUACCUUGAGAAAAACAGAGUGUUCCAGGCAGGUUUGUCCGGAAUGCAUUAGCAUGGAAUAAUAGAAUAUGACUGAAGUCGAUUUAUUGGUUUGAGGCUUUAGUAAUGAUUAAUAGGAACAGUCGGGGGCAUUGGUACUUGACAGUCAGAGGUGAAAUUCUAGGAUUUGUCAAAGACUAACAAAUGCGAAAGCAUUUGCCAAGGAUGUUUUCAUUAAUCAAGAACGAAAGUUAGGGGAUCAAAGACGAUCAGAUACCGUCCUAGUCUUAACUAUAAACUAUACCGACUCGGAUUCGGAUGAAUCAAAAAGUUCAUUCGGGACCGUAGGAGAAAUCAAAGUUUUUGGGUUCUGGGGGAAGUAUGGUCGCAAGGCUGAAACUUAAAGGAAUUGACGGUUUUGCACCACCAUGGAGUGGAGUCUGCGGCUUAAUUUGACUCAACACUGGGAAACUCAUCAGGGCAAGAAGAUUUUAGGAUUGACAGAUUGAGAGUUCUUUCUUGAUUGGUCUAGUGGUGGUGCAUGGCCGUUCUUAGUUGGUGGAGUGAUUUGUCUGGUUAAUUCCGUUAACGAACGAGACCUUAACCUGCUAACUAGUACUUCGAUGACAAAUCGAUGUUACUUCUUAGAGGGACUAUGUGAUGUAAUCACAUGGAAGUUUGAGGCAAUAACAGGUCUGUGAUGCCCUUAGAUGUCCUGAGCUGCACGCGUACUACAAUGGUGCUUUCAACGAGCUUUUCCUGAUCCGAAAGGAUUUGGGUAAUCUUUUUAGUGAGCACCGUGCUUGGGAUUGAUCUUUGUAAUUAUGGAUCAUGAACUAGGAAUUCCUAGUAAGCGCGUGUCAUCAUCACGUGCUGAUUACGUCCCUGCAAAAUGUACACACCGCCCGUCGCUAUUACCGAUUGAGUGUAAAGGUGAACCUUCUCGAUGGCGCAAGCCAGAAAUUAAGUAAACCUUUGCACUUAGAGGAAAUAAAAGUCGUAACAAGGUUUCCGUAGGUGAACCUGCAGAAGGAUCA